GGACGAACGCUGGCGGCGUGCCUAAUACAUGCAAGUCGAACGAGCUCUCCUAAAUUGAUUUUAUGCUUGCAUAAAUGAUUUUUAGAUUCGGAGCGAGUGGCGAACUGGUGAGUAACACGUGGGUAACCUGCCCCGAAGCGGGGGAUAACAUUUGGAAACAAAUGCUAAUACCGCAUAAUUAGUUGGAACCGCAUGGUUCCAACUUGAAAGAUGGCUCUGCUAUCACUUUGGGAUGGACCCGCGCCGUAUUAGUUAGUUGGUGAGAUAAAAGCCCACCAAGACGAUGAUACGUAGCCGACCUGAGAGGGUAAUCGGCCACAUUGGGACUGAGACACGGCCCAGACUCCUACGGGAGGCAGCAGUAGGGAAUCUUCCACAAUGGACGAAAGUCUGAUGGAGCAACGCCGCGUGAGUGAUGAAGGUUUUCGGAUCGUAAAACUCUGUUGUUAAAGAAGAACAAGUGUUAGAGUAACUGUUAACACUUUGACGGUAUUUAACCAGAAAGCCACGGCUAACUACGUGCCAGCAGCCGCGGUAAUACGUAGGUGGCAAGCGUUGUCCGGAUUUAUUGGGCGUAAAGCGAGCGCAGGCGGUUUUGUAAGUCUGCUGUGAAAGCCCUCAGCUCAACUGAGGAAGUGCAGUGGAAACUACAAAACUUGAGUACAGAAGAGGAAAGUGGAACUCCAUGUGUAGCGGUGAAAUGCGUAGAUAUAUGGGAAGAACACCAGUGGCGAAGGCGGCUUUCUGGUCUGUUACUGACGCUGAGGCUCGAAAGCAUGGGUAGCGAACAGGAUUAGAUACCCUGGUAGUCCAUGCCGUAAACGAUGAAUACUAGGUGUUGGAGGGUUUCCGCCCUUCAGUGCCGCAGCUAACGCAUUAAGUAUUCCGCCUGGGGAGUACGACCGCAAGGUUGAAACUCAAAGGAAUUGACGGGGGCCCGCACAAGUGGUGGAGCAUGUGGUUUAAUUCGAUGCUACGCGAAGAACCUUACCAGCUCUUGACAUCUUCUGCCAACCCAAGAGAUUGGGCGUUCCCUUCGGGGACAGAAUGACAGGUGGUGCAUGGUUGUCGUCAGCUCGUGUCGUGAGAUGUUGGGUUAAGUCCCGCAACGAGCGCAACCCUUAUUAUUAGUUGCCAGCAUUUAGUUGGGCACUCUAGUGAGACUGCCGGUGAUAAACCGGAGGAAGGUGGGGACGACGUCAAAUCAUCAUGCCCCUUAUGAGCUGGGCUACACACGUGCUACAAUGGAUGGUACAACGAGUCGCGAAACCGCGAGGUCAAGCUAAUCUCUUAAAGCCAUUCUCAGUUCGGAUUGCAGGCUGCAACUCGCCUGCAUGAAGUUGGAAUCACUAGUAAUCGUGGAUCAGCAUGCCACGGUGAAUACGUUCCCGGGCCUUGUACACACCGCC
rnacentral:rRNA from 1 species